rnacentral:rRNA from 1 species
GAUGAACGCUAGCGGCAGGCCUAACACAUGCAAGUCGAACGGUAACAGGCCUUCGGGCGCUGACGAGUGGCGGACGGGUGAGUAACGCGUGGGAAUCUGCCUAGUAGUGGGGGACAACCUGGGGAAACUCAGGCUAAUACCGCAUACGCCCUACGGGGGAAAGCAGGGGAUCUUCGGACCUUGCGCUAUUAGAUGAGCCUGCGUCGGAUUAGCUUGUUGGUGGGGUAAAGGCCUACCAAGGCGACGAUCCGUAGCUGGUUUGAGAGGACGAUCAGCCACACUGGGACUGAGACACGGCCCAGACUCCUACGGGAGGCAGCAGUAGGGAAUCUUCCGCAAUGGACGAAAGUCUGACGGAGCAACGCCGCGUGAGUGAUGAAGGUUUUCGGAUCGUAAAGUUCUGUUAUGAGGGAAGAACAAGUGCCGUUCGAAUAGGGCGGCACCUUGACGGUACCUCACGAGAAAGCCCCGGCUAACUACGUG